AGGGGAUGCAAGAGAACCUGUAACCCGGGGUUACAAACUGUGGAAGCACGUUAAGGUGCAACCGCGUACUUUUUGUAGAACGGUCCGGCGAGUUGCGGAUGCUGGCGAGGUAAAGGAGUAAAGCUCCGGAGCCGAAGCGAGAGCGAGUCUCAAUAGGGCGUAAAGUCAGCAUGGGCAGACCCGUAACCGGGUGACCAAUCCAUGUCCAGGUUGAAGUUCCCGUAAAAGGGAAUGGAGGACCGUACGCACAUCCGUUGAAAAGGGUGGCGAUGAGGUGUGGAUAGGGGAGAAAUUCCAAUCGAACCCGGAGAUAGCUGGUUCUCCUCGAAAUAGCUUUAGGGCUAGCCUCGUAUUAGUUUAGCGGAGGUAGAGCACUGAAUUUCCUAGGGGGCGUCAAAGUCUACCGAAGAAUAUCAAACUCCGAAUGCCGCAUAAAUGAUGUACGGGAGUCAGACUGCACGAGAUAAGUUGGGUAGUCAAAAGGGAAAGAGCCCAGACCUACAGCUAAGGUCCCAAAGUGUGUGUUAAGUGGAAAAGGAUGUGGGAUUUCGAAGACAACUAGGAUGUUGGCUCAGAAGCAGCCACACAUUCAAAGAGUGCGUAAUAGCUCACUAGUCGAGAGGUCCUGCGCCGAAAAUGUCCGGGGCUAAAACACAACACCGAAGCUUAGGAAUGUAAUUAUACAUUGGUAGAGGAGCAUUCUUAAAGAGACGAAGCAGUACCGAUAAGGAGCUGUGGAUUUUUAAGAAGAGAGAAUGCCGGAAUGAGUAGCGAGAUGGAGGUGGGAAUCCUCCAGGCCGAAUAUCUAAGGUUUCCAGAGUAAAGCUGAUCUGCUCUGGGUAAGUCGGGGCCUAAGGCGAGGUCGAAAGACGUAGUCGAUGGAUAACAGGUUGAAAUUCCUGUACUGCAUAUCAUCAGAACUGUGGGGACACAGAGAGAUACCGGAACCUGGGAAUGAAGAUACCAGGGCAAGCGAGGUAGGUGCUAAGCUGGCAAAUCCGCUUAGUAAGCCGAAGACGUGAUGCGGAGCGAAUUAAAGUAGCGAAGUCCGGGAUUCGAGCUGUCGAGAAAAGCCGCUAUUGUGUGAUAUGUACCCGUACCGUAAACCGACACAGGUGGAUGAGGAGAGAAUCCUAAGGCCGGCGGGAGAAGCAUUGUUAAGGAACUCGGCAAAAUGACCCUGUAACUUCGGGAUAAAGGGUGCCACAGAGAUGUGGCCGCAGAGAAUAGGCUCAAGCAACUGUUUAGCAAAAACACAGGUCUAUGCGAAACCGAAAGGUGAGGUAUAUGGGCUGACGCCUGCCCGGUGCUGGAAGGUUACGAGGAGAGGUUAGAGCAAUCGAAGCUUUGAAUCUAAGCCCCAGUAAACGGCGGCCGUAACUAUAACGGUCCUAAGGUAGCGAAAUUCCUUGUCGGGUAAGUUCCGACCCGCACGAAAGGUUAAACGAUUUGAGCGCUGUCUCGACAAUGCACCCGG
rnacentral:rRNA from 1 species